rnacentral:rRNA from 1 species
GAUGAACGCUGGCUACAGGCUUAACACAUGCAAGUCGAGGGGAAACGACGGGGAAGCUUGCUUCCCCGGGCGUCGACCGGCGCACGGGUGAGUAACGCGUAUCCAACCUGCCUCUGACUGAGGGAUAACCCGUCGAAAGUCGGCCUAAUACCUCAUGGCAUCGUCUGCGGGCAUCCAACGACGAUUAAAGAUUUCAUCGGUCAGGGAUGGGGAUGCGUCUGAUUAGCUUGUUGGCGGGAUAACGGCCCACCAAGGCUACGAUCAGUAGGGGUUCUGAGAGGAAGGUCCCCGACAUUGGAACUGAGACACGGUCCAAACUCGUACGGGAGGCAGCAGUGAGGAAUAUUGGUAAAUGGGCGGGAGCCUGAACCAGCCAAGUAGCGUGCAGGAGGACGGCCCUAUGGGUUGUAAACUGCUUUUAGGCGGGGAUAAAGUGAGGGACGUGUCCUUCAUUGCAGGUACCGCAUGAAUAAGGACCGGCUAAUUCCGUG